CAUCAACGCUGGCGGCGUGCCUCAGACAUGCAAGUCGAACGAUUAAAGCUCUCUUCGGAGAGUGCAUAGAGUGGCGCACGGGUGAGUAACACGUAAGUAAUCUACCUUCGAGUGGGGAAUAACGUCCGGAAACGGACGCUAAUACCGCAUAAUGCAGCGGCAUCGCAAGAUGACAGUUGUUAAAGAUUUAUCGCUUGAAGAGGAGCUUGCGGCAGAUUAGCUAGUUGGUAAGGUAAUGGCUUACCAAGGCUACGAUCUGUAACCGGUCUUAGAGGACGGUCGGUCAAACUGACACUGAAUAACGGGUCAGACUCCUACGGGAGGCAGCAGUCGGGAAUUUUGGGCAAUGGGCGAAAGCCUGACCCAGCAACGCCGCGUGAAGGAUGAAGUAUUUCGGUAUGUAAACUUCGAAAGAAUGGGAAGAAUAAAUGACGGUACCAUUUAUAAGGUCCGGCUAACUACGUGCCAGCAGCCGCGGUAAAAC
rnacentral:rRNA from 1 species